rnacentral:rRNA from 1 species
UACGAAGGGGGCUAGCGUUGCUCGGAAUCACUGGGCGUAAAGCGCACGUAGGCGGAUUGUUAAGUCAGGGGUGAAAUCCCGGAGCUCAACUCCGGAACUGCCUUUGAUACUGGCAAUCUUGAGACUGGAAGAGGUUAGUGGAAUUCCCAGUGUAGAGGUGAAAUUCGCAGAUAUUGGGAAGAACACCAGUGGCGAAGGCGGCUAACUGGUCCAGUACUGACGCUGAGGUGCGAAAGCGUGGGGAGCAAACAGG